rnacentral:rRNA from 1 species
UACGUAGGGGGCAAGCGUUGUCCGGAAUCAUUGGGCGUAAAGCGCGUGUAGGCGGCUUGGUAAGUCCGCUCUGAAAGCCCGGGGCUCAACCCCGGGAGGCGGGUGGAUACUGUCAAGCUCGAGUCCGGAAGAGGCGAGUGGAAUUCCUGGUGUAGCGGUGAAAUGCGCAGAUAUCAGGAGGAACACCAAUGGCGAAGGCAGCUCGCUGGGACGUGACUGACGCUGAGACGCGAAAGCGCGGGGAGCAAACAGG